rnacentral:rRNA from 1 species
GACGAACGCUGGCGGCGUGCCUAACACAUGCAAGUCGAACGAUGAAGCCUCAAGCUUGCUUGGGUGGAUUAGUGGCGAACGGGUGAGUAGCACGUGGGUGAUCUGCCCCGCACUUCGGGAUAAGCCUGGGAAACUGGGUCUAAUACCGGAUACGACCCCCUGGUAGGUAAGGGGGUGGAAAGGUUUAUCGGUGUGGGAUGAGCCUGCGGCCUAUCAGCUUGUUGGUGGGGUAAUGGCCUACCAAGGCGUCGACGGGUAGCCGGCCUGAGAGGGUGAUCGGCCACAUUGGGGCUGAGACACGGCCCAGACUCCUACGGGAGGCAGCAGUGGGGAAUAUCGCACAAUGGGCGCAAGCCUGAUGCAGCGACGCCGCGUGGGGGAUGACGGCCUUCGGGUUGUAAACUCCUUUCGACAGGGACGAAGCUUUAUUGUGACGGUACCUGUAGAAGAAGCACCGGCUAACUACGUGCCAGCAGCCGCCGUAA